rnacentral:rRNA from 1 species
GAGGAAUAUUGGUCAAUGGACGGAAGUCUGAGCCAGCCAAGUAGCGUGCAGGAUGACGGCCCUAUGGGUUGUAAACUGCUUUUGUAUGGGGAUAAAGUUAGGGACGUGUCCCUAUUUGCAGGUACCAUACGAAUAAGGACCGGCUAAUUCCGUGCCAGCAGCCGCGGUAAUACGGAAGGUCCAGGCGUUAUCCGGAUUUAUUGGGUUUAAAGGGAGCGUAGGCUGGAGAUUAAGUGUGUUGUGAAAUGUAGACGCUCAACGUCUGAAUUGCAGCGCAUACUGGUUUCCUUGAGUACGCACAACGUUGGCGGAAUUCGUCGUGUAGCGGUGAAAUGCUUAGAUAUGACGAAGAACUCCGAUUGCGAAGGCAGCCUGCGGGAGUGUUACUGACGCUUAAGCUCGAAGGUGCGGGUAUCGAACAGGAUUAGAUACCCUGGUAGUCCGCACUGUAAACGAUGGAUGCCCGCCGUUGGCGCCCUGCGCCUGCGGCCAAGCGAAAGCAUUAAGCAUCCCACCUGGGGAGUACGCCGGCAACGGUG